UGGUGUCUCCUUCUUACAGUCUGCAGCAUUAUCAUAACAUCAACCCUAGCUGUUGUUUUAAAACUGCAUUGGAAUUAUGUUAACAAGCAGGAAGCACCUGAACUGAAUUGGACUGCACACUAUACAAGUUCUGUGAUCGUGAGGACUACCUCCAAGAACCAUCUCAAAAGGAGAGACACAGCUCACAGUGAAAUGAUUGCUAAUGUGACCUACACUGGUAUUUCACAAGGAACCUAUUGAGAUCAUUCCAAAAAACGAUUAUACCUGAGAAAGAUGUGAUUGGACAAUUACAAAUCCUAAU